rnacentral:rRNA from 1 species
AUGAAUGGUGGAGAAAGCAGAGCCAUGGAUGGCGUUCAUGGAGUAGCCACAUGGCUCGAAAUCAAAGUCGCAGAUCUCCAUCUCUGGGAUUAUGUCAGAGAUGCCAGAGAGCUUGGUCAUCUCCUUGGCGCAAGAUGUGUGGCCAUCAGCAGAGGUCUUGAAGAAGACAGAAGCUUUCUUCUUGUCCAGACCAGUCAUGAUCACCAAUGA